GAAAGUGGAGCAAUCCAUGAGUACAGUGGCGCACGGGUGAGUAACACGUGACUAACCUACCUUUAAGUGGGGGAUAACCUCGGGAAACCGGGGCUAAUACCGCAUAACCUCGCGAGGUGAAAUUCCUUGCGAGCAAAGCAGCAAUGCGCUUUUAGAGGGGGUCGCGGCUGAUUAGCUAGUUGGCGGGGUAACGGCCCACCAAGGCGGGGAUCAGUAUCCGGCCUGAGAGGGCGCACGGACACACUGGAACUUUUUCGCGGUCCAGGAUCCUACGGGAGGCUCCAUCCGGAUCUGNCGUAAAACUCAC
rnacentral:sRNA from 1 species